GCAGAAAGCGAAGGGGCACUCUAUCUUGGAUGGAAAAAUAGAGCUUUAGCAACUUCUUCUGCCUGGAGAUGACAACUUGUUGCCUACUAUUGUCAAACAUUUGUACAUUUUUGCCAUAUGAUCUCGACGUUUAUCUUUUGUUGAAGACUAGAAGAGUGUAUUUUUAACCCUUUUCGUUUCAUAUACAAAGCUCGGAGUAUGAAAUUUUAGGUUUUUACAUGCCAGCACAGGGAGGAAUAUCGUGAGUCUGAAAUAGAUUCCAUGUCUCAACAUUUGGUUUUGUCAUUUUUCUCCAAGUUUAUUGUUUUUUCUCAACUAGAUCUUGAGCUCUAUCUGCUAAUGUUUGUAUAAAUGAAAUCCAGUUUCAGCCUCUUCUAAUUGAGUACAAGGUUUCUUGGUUUUUUGUUUCCCUUAAUGUUUGCAUGCUAUUCUUCAGUUGCACAUCUCUUUAAAUGCUGUAGAUU
rnacentral:lncRNA from 1 species